UCAAUUUAUAAAUCAACUUGUAUUAUCGCACCAGCAGCGCAGCGUGCGCGAGUAAGGAUAACGUAUUGGUCCGGACUUCGUAUUACUAUAUUUCGCUUCGUUGGCUGAAUUGCAUUUUUCAUCAUACGAAUCGCUCAUUUUCAACGGAAUCAAAAUGGGUAGCGUUGAAGAGAUUUAUGAAAAUGAAAUACACCGUACUAUCACACGGCGUACGAGCUUCAAAAUUCAAGAGACGUCGUCGAAAAAAACCACUACGAUGACCACCGCCCCGGCCAAGCUGUACGGCAAGAACUUGAGUGAAUAUGAUGAGCUAGAUGUCGACCAACUGCUCUCUCAGUUAUCACCUGAAGAGAUCAGCAUUUUGGCUAAAGAAGUCGAUCCAGACGACAACUUAUUACCACCAUCUGAACGUUGUAGUUAUGAAUGUAACAAAGAAGCCACUGGACCAUUAAAUAGAAAAAAACUGAUUGAGCAUAUUAACAAACAGGCUCUUGAAACACCUGAUCUACCAGAAAUUAAACCAUAUGUACCUGGAACUGUAAGAGGGAAAAAGUGGGUGGCACCUGAAACCAAUGGUAACACUGAACAUGAAGAUAAAAUUGCAAUUGAUCUUGAUGAUGAAUACGGUGAUGCGUUAAAUUCCGCAUCACAAGAAGAAAUUAUAGAUUUGGCUGCUAUACUAGGAUUCCAUUCAAUGAUGAAUCAAGAUCAAUACCAUGCUUCAUUAUUAAAUAAAGGUCAACCAGUUGGCUUAGGAUGGGACGGUGUUACAAAGGCAACACAGCCUAAGGUUUAUCCCCCAGAGCCGCCCAAUCAAACAGAUCCAGAAGAAACUAUUAAACGAGUACUUGAUGAUGAUUCUAAGCUACUUGAUCUCAAUUGGAACAACAUUAAAAAUAUUUCUGAUGAAAAGUUUGAGAAUCUAUUCAAAGCUUUAGUAGAAAAUACUCAUUUAGAAACAUUAAGUUUGGUAAAUGUUGGACUCACUGAUCGGUUAGCAGACAAGUUAGCUGAAGCAUUAGAAAAAAAUUGCACAUUACGCGUUUGCAAUGUGGAAACAAAUUUCAUUAGCCCUGUAGGAAUAGUCCAUUUAGUCAAGUCUUUAUUGAAGCAGAGAUCUUUAGAAGAAUUCCGUGCCACUAAUCAGAGAUCCCAAGUAUUGGGAAAUAAGAUAGAAAUGGAACUUACCAAAUUGAUUGAACAAAAUCCAACUAUUCUUAGACUGGGUUUGCAUUUGGAGUACAAUGAUGCUCGUCAUCGCAUUGCAUCUCAUUUACAACGCAAUAUUGACAGGAUAAGAAAAGACACGCCGUUGAAAAUGAAAUUUAGGUUCUUUAGAAAAACACCCCAGAAGCACCGCAAGAACUUGAUCAAAUAAAUGAUCGGCGGAUUACAUUAUUGAGUACGCCAGAGCCGUGUGGGCGCAAACUCCGCAUAAAUUACAUAUUUUGGCUACGUACACUAUUUAGGCCGUUUACGCAGAACUGGUCACUUUGCGCGUACAUACACUGGCGGUUGGGUUGUACAUAAAAAGGCUAAAUAAUUAUGAGUUUGUGCCUAGACCUUGGUCCUAGACUCUUAUAUUUUAAGUAUUUAAUUAUAUACUAUAUUUAUAUAAUGUAUUGUUUUUUUCUCCUCAUUAAUUGUUCAAACAAUUUGUAUAUAUAUUUAUGUUAUGGUCUUAUGCUGGCCUUUUCAUAUGCGUUUAGUUCUUAGUGCAUGUGUGUGACAAUUUUAUUGAUUUGAAUUUUUAAACAUACAAUUAUAUUUAUUAA